rnacentral:rRNA from 1 species
GAAGAAGCGCCGGCUAACUACGUGCCAGCAGCCGCGGUAAUACGUAGGGCGCGAGCGUUGUCCGGAUUUAUUGGGCGUAAAGAGCUCGUAGGUGGUUCGUCGCGUCUGUCGUGAAAGCCAGCAGCUUAACUGUUGGUCUGCGGUGGGUACGGGCGGGCUUGAGUGCGGUAGGGGUGACUGGAAUUCCUGGUGUAGCGGUGGAAUGCGCAGAUAUCAGGAGGAACACCGAUGGCGAAGGCAGGUCACUGGGCCGUUACUGACGCUGAGGAGCGAAAGCGUGGGGAGCGAACAGGAUUAGAUACCCUGGUAGUCCACGCUGUAAACGUUGGGA